rnacentral:rRNA from 1 species
ACUCCUACGGGAGGCAGCAGUGGGGAAUAUUGCACAAUGGGGGAAACCCUGAUGCAGCCAUGCCGCGUGUGUGAAGAAGGCCUUCGGGUUGUAAAGCACUUUCAGUAGGGAGGAAGGUAGUGUAGUUAACACCUGCAUUAUUUGACGUUACCUACAGAAGAAGCACCGGCUAACUCCGUGCCAGCAGCCGCGGUAAUACGGAGGGUGCGAGCGUUAUCCGGAAUCAUUGGGUUUAAAGGGUCCGCAGGCGGUCAAUUAAGUCAGAGGUGAAAUCCUAUAGCUUAACUAUAGAACUGCCUUUGAUACUGGUUGACUUGAGUUAUACGGAAGUAGGUAGAAUGUGUAGUGUAGCGGUGAAAAUGCAUAGAUAUUACACAGAAUACCGAUUGCGAAGGCAGCCUACUACGUAUAUACUGACGCUCAUGGACGAAAGCGUGGGGAGCGAACAGGAUUAGAUACCCUGGUAGGAUAGCGU